UUGAAGCAACUUUGUAACAGAUGGUACACAGCAACGACUCGACAGACUGGAGUCAAAGGUGGACCGCAUACUACAACUACUGUGGAGGAAUCAGGCUGCUGAAGAAGCUGACUGCAUUGGAGAUAAUGCAGGCCAGACUUAAAACAACGGAGGAGCUGGACCAAUUCAGCAAAACGCUGGAGGACCAGGAGUUUAGGAGGACAGUGGUGAAUCUGCUGAAACAGCUAUCUGGAUCAAUGCUGAACUCCUUUGCCAGGAUGAUGCUCGGUGAAAUUGGGAUGUGGCGGUUGUGGGCUGGCGUCAGCCUCAAAGGAUGGAAAGGGAAGAAAGCCCUGCAGCCUCUCACUCUCUAGAGUUUUGAAGAGCAAAGAAGGAGGAUGAAAGAAUUGGUACUGGUGUUAAUGCUGACUCAGAUGCUGGGGUGGAUGAAGCCAUGGGCGACGAUGUGGAUGCCGAUGCCAUGG